rnacentral:rRNA from 1 species
GGCGUAGGAAUCUGCCUCUUAGUGGGGGACAACCUAGGGAAACUUAGGCUAAUACCGCAUACGCCCCCUAUAGUUAGGGGGGAAAGCGGGGGACCUUCGGGCCUCGUGCUGAGAGAUGAGCCUACGUCCGAUUAGCUAGUUGGUAGGGUAAGGGCCUACCAAGGCGACGAUCGGUAGCUGGUCUGAGAGGAUGGCCAGCCACACUGGGACUGAGACACGGCCCAGACUCCUACGGGAGGCAGCAGUGGGGAAUAUUGGACAAUGGGGGCAACCCUGAUCCAGCGAUGUCGCGUGGGUGAAGAAGGCCUGCGGGUUGUAAAGCCCUUUCAGUCGGGAAGAAAGGCCAAGAGCGAAUACCUUUUGGUGUUGACGUUACUGACAGAAGAAGCACCGGCUAACUCCGUGCCAGCAGCCGCGGUAAUACGGAGGGUGCAAGCGUUAAUCGGAAUCACUGGGCGUAAAGGGCGCGUAGGCGGUUUGGUCAGUCGGAUGUGAAAGCCCCGGGCUUAACCCGGGAAUGGCAUUCGAUACUGCCUCACUUGAGUAUGGGAGAGGGAAGCGGAAUUUCCGGUGUAGCGGUGAAAUGUGUAGAUAUCGGAAGGAACACCCGUGGCGAAGGCGGCUUCCUGGCCCAAUACUGACGCUCAAGCGCGAAAGCGUGGGGAUCAAACAGGAUUAGAUACCCUGGUAGUCCACGCCCUAAACGAUGAGAACUCGCCGUUGGGGGAGUUAAAUCCCUCAGUGGCUCAGCUAACGCGUUAAGUUCUCCGCCUGGGGGAGUACGGCCGCAAGGUUAAAACUCAAAGGAAUUGACGGGGGGCCCGCACAAGCGGGUGGAGCAUGUGGGUUUAAUUCGAUGCAACG